rnacentral:rRNA from 1 species
CCUACGGGGGGCUGCAGUGGGGGAUAUUGCACAAUGGGGGGAACCCUGAUGCAGCGACGCCGCGUGGGUGAAGGAGCGUUUCGGCGCGUAAAGCCCUAUCGGCAGGGAAGAAGAUUACGGUACCUGACCAAGAAGCCCCGGCUAACUACGUUCCAGCAGCCGCGGUAAUACGUAGGGGGCAAGCGUUAUCCGGAUUUACUGGGUGUAAAGGGGGCGCAGACGGAAGUGCAAGCCAGGAGUGAACGCCCGGGGCCCAACCCCGGGACUGCUCUGGGAACUGCAUGGCUGGAGUACAGGGGGGGGAGGGGGAAUUCGGGGGGAAGCGGGGAAAUGCGGAGAUAUAAGGAAGAA